rnacentral:tRNA from 1 species
GGGAAGUUAGCUCAGCUGGAAGAGCGCCACGUUGACAUCGUGGAGGUCGCUGGUUCGAGCCCAGUACUGCCCACCA